ACCAGACUCCUACGGGAGGCAGCAGUGAGGAAUAUUGGUCAAUGGGCGGAAGCCUGAACCAGCCAAGUCGCGUGAGGGAUUAAGGCCCUGCGGGUCGUAAACCUCUUUUGUCGGGGAGCAGAGGUCCGGACGUGUCCGGGCCGGGAGAGUACCCGGAGAAAAAGCAUCGGCUAACUCCGUGCCAGCAGCCGCGGUAAUACGGAGGAUGCGAGCGUUAUCCGGAUUUAUUGGGUUUAAAGGGUGCGUAGGCGGGCAUUUAAGCCGGCGGUAAAAUGUCGGGGCUCAACCCCGGCCUGCCGUCGGAACUGGGUGCCUUGAGUGGGCGAGAAGUAUGCGGAAUGCGUGGUGUAGCGGUGAAAUGCAUAGAUAUCGCGCAGAACUCCGAUUGCGAAGGCAGCAUGCCGGCUCCACACUGACGCUGAGGCACGAAAGCGUGGGUAUCGAACAGGAUUAGAUACCCGUGUAUA
rnacentral:rRNA from 1 species